CCUACGGGAGGCUGCAGUGGGGGAUAUUGCACAAUGGGGGGAACCCUGAUGCAGCGACGCCGCGUGGGUGAAUACGCGCCUCUGCGCGUAAAGCCCUGUCAGCAGGGAAGAAAAUGACGGUACCUGCCGACGAAGCCCCGGCUUACUACGUGGCAGCAGCCGCGGUAAUACGGAGGGGGCAAGCGUUAUCCGGAUUUACUGGGUGUAAAGGGGGCGCAGGCGGGGAUGUUAGCCAGGAGGGAAAGUCCGGGGCCCAACCCCGGGACUGCCCGUGAAACUGCGGGUCUUGAGUGCAGGAGGGGUAGGCGGAAUGCGUGGUGUAGCGGUGAAAUGCGUAGAUAUCACGAGGAACCCCGGUGGCGAAGGCAGCCUGCUGGUGUGCAACUGACGUUGAGGCCCGAAAGCGUGGGUAUCGAACAGGAUUAGAUACCCGAGUAGUC
rnacentral:rRNA from 1 species